rnacentral:rRNA from 1 species
UUAGCCGGGCGACGGUUGUCCCGGUUUAAGCAUGUAGGCGGAGGUUCCAGGUAAAUCCGGUACCUUUUAACGCUGAGGUGUGAUGACGAGGCACUACGGUGCUGAAGUAACAAAUGCCCUGCUUCCAGGAAAAGCCUCUAAGCAUCAGGUAACACGAAAUCGUACCCCAAACCGACACAGGUGGUCAGGUAGAGAAUACCAAGGCGCUUGAGAGAACUCGGGUGAAGGAACUAGGCAAAAUGGUGCCGUAACUUCGGGAGAAGGCACGCUGACAUGUAGGUGAAGCCCCUGCGGGUGGAGCUGAAGUCAGUCGAAGAUACCAGCUGGCUGCAACUGUUUAUUAAAAACACAGCACUGUGCAAACACGAAAGUGGACGUAUACGGUGUGACGCCUGCCCGGUGCCGGAA